UCCGGGACGCCGGCGAGUGGCGAACGGGUGAGUAACACGUGGAGACCUGCCCUGAGGUGGGGGAUAACAGCUAGAAAUGGCUGCUAAUACCGCAUACGCCUUACGAGGGAAAGAUUUAUUGCCUCAGGAGGGUUCCGCGUCGGAUUAGCUUGUUGGUGGGGUAACGGCCUACCAAGGCGAUGAUCCGUAGCUGGUCUUAGAGGAUGAUCAGCCACACUGGGACUGAGACACGGCCCAGACUCCUACGGGAGGCAGCAGUGGGGAAUAUUGCGCAAUGGAGGCAACUCUGACGCAGCGAUGCCGCGUGGGUGAAUAAGGCCUUAGGGUUGUAAAGCCCUUUCAGUGGGAAAGAUGAUGACGGUACCCACAGAAGAAGCCCCGGCUAACUCCGUGCCAGCAGCCGCGGUAAUACGGAGGGGGCGAGCGUUGUUCGGAAUUAUUGGGCGUAAAGAGCGCGUAGGCGGUUUAUUAAG
rnacentral:rRNA from 1 species